rnacentral:rRNA from 1 species
CACGUAGGGGGCGAGCGUUGUCCGGAAUCAUUGGGCGUAAAGAGCUCGUAGGCGGCUCAGUAAGUCGGGUGUGAAACCCCCAGGCUCAACCUGGGGACGCCACUCGGAUACUGCUGUGGCUAGAGUCCAGUAGAGGAGUGUGGAAUUCCCGGUGUAGCGGUGAAAUGCGCAGAUAUCAGGAGGAACACCGGUGGCGAAGGCGGAUCUCUGGGCCAUUACUGACGCUGAGGAGCGAAAGCGUGGGGAGCAAACAGG